rnacentral:ncRNA from 2 species
GACUACCAUGCCGCCGCCGGUCCCCCAACGGGAUUAAUAGGGAAUCCGUGAUGCUGCCAACGCAUCAAACGGAACUGCCCCCGCAACUGUAGGUGCCGAGCCUGCUCCUGAACUGCCACUGGGAUCGAUCCCGGGAAGGCUGGAGCAUGCCAUGACGCAUCAGUCAGGAGACCUGCCGGCCAAGCAACAAUCAC